UACGGAGGGGGCUAGCGUUGUUCGGAAUUACUGGGCGUAAAGCGCGCGUAGGCGGCUUUGUAAGUUAGAGGUGAAAGCCCGGGGCUCAACUCCGGAAUUGCCUUUAAGACUGCAUCGCUAGAAUUGUGGAGAGGUAAGUGGAAUUCCGAGUGUAGAGGUGAAAUUCGUAGAUAUUCGGAAGAACACCAGUGGCGAAGGCGACUUACUGGUCCGGGAACUGACGCUGAGG
rnacentral:rRNA from 1 species